UAUUAUGUGGUGGUGGUAUGGAUGUAAAAAUUUAAAAGUUUAUAGUAAAAACUAAGGAAAACUUUAAAUAUUCUCUCUGUGGUUUCACACUUUCUCAGUUUAAUUAGUACCAUUUGGUUUAAAAUGUAUCAAGUUAGUACCCUGUGAUUUCGGACUUUCUCACUUUAGUACCCUAUGAUUUAAAGUGUAUCGAGUUAGUACCAUGUGGUUUCGCACUUACUCAUUUUAGCAUCCUGUGGUUUAAUAUUUCGUUAAAUUAUAUACAAAAAACUUCAGAUACUCUACCUAGGUUUAUUAAAUAUUCAUUUUAAUACCUUUUAGUUUUAAAUUUGUUACUGAUUUUACGAAAAAAGAACCACAAAAUGGAUAAUUAAAAGAGAAAAAUGAAACCACAGAGUACUAACAAACAAAAGUAAAACCACAGAGUACGUACUAACUUGAUACAUUUUAUUCCAUAGGGUACUAAAGUGAGAAAGUGUGAAACUAUAGGGUACUAACUUGAUACACUUUAAAGCGUAGGGUACUAAAGUAAAAAAGUGCGAAACCACAUAAGGGGUUUUGAAGUUUUCCCUAAAAACUAUUCGCCAACUAUUGAUAUUCAAAUU
rnacentral:lncRNA from 1 species